CCCCGAACCCCGCGAGGAGCCUGCCCGAGCCUGCCCUGCAGGAGACACAGCGCCUUUGGCCAGGGAACGGCGGGGCCGGACGGUUAACCGACGGCGACACCACCGUUCUCCCCAGCCUCACUCUUCCUGGGUCUCUGGGGGAGGACUGUCACCCUGCCGGCAGGUUUGCCCGCAGGGUACGUCUUGAGUGUGUAACAGCAUCCACGACUGUUCUGUUGAAUUUCGAAACGAGAAAACCUUUUUUUCCUUUUGACAUACAACGUGCACCGGAAUUAGGUGUGAGGGUGUGGCCGUGUUUCUAAGUGUACAGGUAGGGCCAACAGGACCCCUGCGGAAGGAUCAGAGGGGGCGCACGGGGAAGUGGGGACCUACAGGGGACACGGACACGACAGCCAGGAGGACCAGGAGAACUCAGGUCUUGGACAUGGUGCCAGCAUGUGUCACGCAGGAGAUGCCGCAAGACGCCAGAGCAGAGGCGACGCGUAGCCCACGGGCUGGAGAACACAGCUGGGGGGCAGCAGGAAGACAGGUUUGGAUGGGACGUAGAGCCACGGGGCUAGACAGGGGUCGGAGAGCAGAGCCCGCGGGACACGGAGAAACCACACACCAGGCGGGUAAUGAGGAGGGUUUCGCCAGGAUGGUGCCCGUGAACUGAGCGAAGAACAGGACUCUGGGGGAACGAGCAUCUCUGGGUCAAGUGUGGCCGACAGGGCAGCAGGACGAGAGCAAAGAAUAACCAUCGGGAACUGA